rnacentral:misc_RNA from 1 species
AAAUGCGAUAAGUAAUGUGAAUUGCAGAAUUCAGUGAAUCAUCGAAUCUUUGAACGCACAUUGCGCCCCUUGGUAUUCCGAGGGGCAUGCCUGUUCGAGCGUCAUUACGACCUUCAAGCCCUGCUUGGUAUUGGGCGCCGGUCCCGCGAACGGACCCACCUCAAAGGCCUCGGCGGCGUCGUCCAGCUUUGAGCGUACCGAAACCUUCACGGGUCCGCGCUGGCUGCUGGGCUCUCGCCCGCCGCGAAACCGCAAACAUUUCACGCAGUUUGACCUCGGAUCAGGUAGGGAUACCCGCUGAACUUAAGC